GAAAGAGAGAACCCACCUACCUGUUUUGCAAAAGUCUCAUGAAUCAUCCCUUCCUGUGGUCCUGCUCCCUGAGAUCCUUUCACCGCUCACAGUGGGCUACUUCUAAGAGCGUGCCUGGCACAGGGUCACUGAGAGCAUAGUCUUAAUAAAACAAUGAUGGAUGCUUGUCUCUCUCACUGGGUGCCAUGCACUUUGAUCAGAAGCUUUAAGAAUGUUUUCCUCCACUGUCUAGUCACAGCCGUAUUAAAUUACACAAGGCAUGGGAAGAGGCAUAAUCUGUUGAUGAUAAAUCAGAAUUAAUGAGAGUUUAACAAGCCUGCUAAAUACUAAGUCAAUGUAAAAAAUCAAUUGUAA
rnacentral:lncRNA from 1 species